rnacentral:piRNA from 1 species
UCUCAUGAUGGGCGUGGCUUACUUUUGGUGU